ensembl:lncRNA
AGUGUCUGAAAUGAUCAUCGACUUGACACUGACGGGAGGAGAUGAGUAAUGGAACUCUACUUCUACUAUAUUAACUGCUUAAAAAAGAACGUUAGCAGAAUGCUAAAAGAUGCAUGAAGCAUGGAUAUGCUCUCAUCAUCCUCUUGGUUGUCCUCUUUCUGAACAAAGUUGAUCAGAUAACAGCUUUAUGAUUGCAGUUCUACAUGAUGCUCUGUUAUCACAUAACGUCCUUCAAACUCUGAGUGCUGCUGAUGAGCUGGUUGCUGAUGGGCUGGUCCUGGGGCUGGCUGAGAGUCAGACUCCGAAUUGACAGAGACAAGAUCCUCAUAUUCAGAAAAUUCUUCAUCUUCCAAAGUGGAAGACGUUCUUUCCACACU